UGUUUCGGCUAGGGGGCCAUCCCGGCUUACCAACCCGAUGCAAACUGCGAAUACCGGAGAAUGUUAUCACGGGAGACACACGGCGGGUGCUAACGUCCGUCGUGAAGAGGGAAACAACCCAGACCGCCAGCUAAGGUCCCAAAGUCAUGGUUAAGUGGGAAACGAUGUGGGAAGGCCCAGACAGCCAGGAUGUUGGCUUAGAAGCAGCCAUCAUUUAAAGAAAGCGUAAUAGCUCACUGGUCGAGUCGGCCUGCGCGGAAGAUGUAACGGGGCUAAACCAUGCACCGAAGCUGCGGCAGCGAACGUAUCACCCAAGACAACUUUACGGAGUUAACGAUUGACGGAGCGAAGCGACGUCAAAGCGUUCAUUAAAGUCGAGUUGGCUUAGGGAUACGUUCGUUGGGUAGGGGAGCGUUCUGUAAGCCUGUGAAGGUGGCCUGUGAGGGUUGCUGGAGGUAUCAGAAGUGCGAAUGCUGACAUAAGUAACGAUAAAGCGGGUGAAAAGCCCGCUCGCCGGAAGACCAAGGGUUCCUGUCCAACGUUAAUCGGGGCAGGGUGAGUCGACCCCUAAGGCGAGGCCGAAAGGCGUAGUCGAUGGGAAACGGGUUAAUAUUCCCGUACUUGGUGUUACUGCGAAGGGGGGACGGAGAAGGCUAUGUUGGCCGGGCGACGGUUGUCCCGGUUUAAGCGUGUAGGCUGGUUUUCCAGGCAAAUCCGGAAAAUCAAGGCUGAGGCGUGAUGACGAGGCACUACGGUGCUGAAGCAACAAAUGCCCUGCUUCCAGGAAAAGCCUCUAAGCAUCAGGUAACAUCAAAUCGUACCCCAAACCGACACAGGUGGUCAGGUAGAGAAUACCAAGGCGCUUGAGAGAACUCGGGUGAAGGAACUAGGCAAAAUGGUGCCGUAACUUCGGGAGAAGGCACGCUGACAUGUAGGUGAAGUGAUUUACUCA
rnacentral:rRNA from 1 species